rnacentral:rRNA from 1 species
CACGUAGGGUGCGAGCGUUGUCCGGAAUUAUUGGGCGUAAAGAGCUCGUAGGCGGUGUGUCGCGUCGGCCGUGAAAACCUGCAGCUUAACUGUGGGCUUGCGGUCGAUACGGGCAUCACUGGAGUUCGGCAGGGGAGACUGGAAUUCCUGGUGUAGCGGUGAAAUGCGCAGAUAUCAGGAGGAACACCGGUGGGCGAAGGCGGGUCUCUGGGCCGUAACUGA